GAUGGGGCGUUCCAACUCUUUCAGUCAACACUUGAGUCAUGGAAGUGAUGGAGAGCGCUCCACUUCUCUAUCACGAGUGGGUUCACCUCCUGGACAUUCUUUUCCCAAAGGUGGGCAGUCCAGCUCUAGAAGGGAGCGUCCCAACUCUUCCAAUCGCCGAUCAAGUCAUGGAAGUGACACACAUUCCACUGCAGGACACUCAACAUCCAGCCAUUAAAAGCCAAGAGCUCCAAUUUACAACAGUGUGGAUAUAUUUCCAAUGCCCAUGGCCAAAUUCCAGAAAUGUGUUCUGAAGAAGCUUGUGGAACUCACAGAGGAGGUGAAGCGCAUUGGGUGUGCAGAACCCAGUGCUUCAAGUUACCAUGUGAGAAGAAUGGAGAAGAUGGAGGAAGUUGAUAAGUUGGGGGACGAACUUCAAAAUAAUGAAGCGAGAGAUCUUCUGCUGCUGUCAAAAAGUGGGACAGCAACUACAGACCAUGAAAUAUCAAAAACUAUGGCAGACCAUUUAAAACAUGCUCCUGGGCGGUCUGGUGGCGGAGGCUAUCUCCCAAAAAACAAAACAGGUAUGCCCGCAAUAAGUGAAGCAGUCCAACAAACCAGAAGUCGGCUGAUUGUUAAGCAGAUUUUUGUGUAUUGUUAUUGUUGUGCAAUUGUGUGUUUUAGUAUGCCUGAUGUCCAAAGCACAUUUGCACACUACUUGUUAUUCCCAAAAUAUAUUUUUAUUCUUCCUUCCAAAUUAAGGCAGUAACAGUUAUGGUCUUUAAGAUAGGAAUUGGAGAGGUAUUUUUGCUUCAAAUUAACUGAACUGUCCAGCGGGUGCUGCAUGUUCAUCUGUGGGCCACACAAUCACCAUAGCAACUAGUGACUCAACGGUCGCUGGGCAGAAAAGGACAAAGGUGACUGAUUGCCUUAAUGGCCUCAAUGACUCACUGCUAUUAAUAUUACUUAGUAGGCCUAAUGGUAGUAUUGGGAUGCACACCAAGAAUCAGGCACACUCGAAAAAUUCUACGAUAAAUUUUCUAGUGUUGGACGUUUGUCGGGUGACAAACACAACUCCAAAUGAAUGAUAAUGUUGCACUGGAUGUGUAAAUAAGUGCUUGCAGAAAAAGUAGAAAAAAUAUGAACUCAAUUUUUGAAUACAUAAUAAGUGCAGUUCAUGUCAAAAUGUGAUGAAUUAAAUAUAAUCUGCCUCAGGAAACUUUUGGGAG